GUAAACAGAAAUUGUCAUUUUGGGUGCAGAUUUUCCCCACCCUUCAAAUGACCCAUCCCACAGCAUCCGUUUCUUGCUCACUGUGGUGUGAAUGGAAGAAACUACACACAGGAAAGAAAACACAUGCGCGGAAAGUCAAUUUCAAAUUUUACUCAUAGUUUACAGUGGAAGAGCAAUGCUUGGGUUGCAGUAGGAAGCAGCCGGUGACAGGUGGGAAAACCCUUGAGAUGCAUCAUGUUUCCUUAACCGUUGUUAGAGAACUAAGGUACAGUGGUACCUCAGAGCGUUUGAGAAAGCGUUGAGUUCCCCCUCCCCUGCCAAAUGACAAAGCAGAGGAGGAAAAGAGGGGAAACCGCUCCUUCUGCCCUGGGAUGGCGAAAUCUUUCUUAGUGCAGCCCAAAAUGCCCCCAGCCCCCAAUCGCCUGCCGAAAGAGAGGGAGGGAGAGA